CCUACGGGUGGCAGCAGUGGGGAAUAUUGGACAAUGGGGGGAACCCUGAUCCAGCCAUGCCGCGUGUGUGAAGAAGGCCCUCGGGUUGUAAAGCACUUUCAGUGAGGAAGAACGCCUGGUGGUUAAUACCCAUCAGGAAAGACAUCACUCACAGAAGAAGCACCGGCUAACUCCGUGCCAGCAGCCGCGGUAAUACGGAGGGUGCGAGCGUUAAUCGGAAUUACUGGGCGUAAAGCGCGCGUAGGUGGCUUGAUAAGCCGGUUGUGAAAGCCCCGGGCUCAACCUGGGAACGGCAUCCGGAACUGUCAAGCUAGAGUGCAGGAGAGGAAGGUAGAAUUCCCGGUGUAGCGGUGAAAUGCGUAGAGAUCGGGAGGAAUACCAGUGGCGAAGGUGGCCUUCUGGACUGACACUGACACUGAGGUGCGAAAGCGUGGGUAGCAAACAGGAUUAGAUACCCUUGUAGUC
rnacentral:rRNA from 1 species